UAUUUCUAUUGAUUCUCGAAAUAAGUCGUGUGUAUACCCUUAUUCUGGAUGAACAGACGGACCCUAGUGUUUUACAGCUGUGAAGUUAGAAGCUGAUGUGAACACCAAUAAAGCUCGUCUCAAAGAACUGGAGGAAUCUUGUUCAUGUUCAGGGUCUACACAAAAUCAAAACCCAGCUUUUAUGACAACGUUAGGUCAGUCAGUCAGUGGAUGUACAGCUAACCAGCCACUAAUCUUCGACAUGGUCAAACUUAACCAAGGCUCUGGUUAUGAUUACAGGCACGGGACAUUUCGUGCACCGGCGAACGGAACUUACCAGAUAAGCGCAACAUUAUCUUCUUCGCCUAACAACCAAGGUUUCCAUAGUGCGUUUGUGAAAAAUCUAGCCAGCAACCAUGUCGGGUAUUUAUAUGCUGACGGAGGUAAGGAUCACUGGCAAGAGAGAAGUACCUCGCUGGUAAUGCAUCUGAACGCCGGCGACGAUGUUUGGUUGUCGUGUUUAGGUGAUAGUACAAUCAAGGGAGACCAUAUUGGGAAGGCAAAUGACUAUCAUUCUCACUUUUCUGGUUUUCUUAUAACGAAGGAUUGAACAGUAUAUUUAAAUUAAAAAAAAAAAACAACA